rnacentral:rRNA from 1 species
GGCGGCGAGCGGCGAACGGGUGAGUAACACAUCGGAACAUAUCCAUUUGUGGGGGAUAGCCCGGCGAAAGCCGGAUUAAUACCGCAUGAGCUCGGGAGAGGAAAGCCGGGGACCGCAAGGCCUGGCGCGAAUGGGUUGGCCGAUGUCCGAUUAGCUUGUUGGUGAGGUAAAGGCUUACCAAGGCGAUGAUCGGUAGCUGGUCUGAGAGGAUGAUCAGCCACACUGGGACUGAGACACGGCCCAGACUCCUACGGGAGGCAGCAGUGGGGAAUUUUGGACAAUGGGGGCAACCCUGAUCCAGCCAUUCCGCGUGAGUGAAGAAGGCCUUCGGGUUGUAAAGCUCUUUUGUCCGGAGCGAAAAGGUUACGGUGAAUAGCCGUGACUACUGACGGUACCGGAAGAAUAAGCACCGGCUAACUACGUGCCAGCAGCCGCGGUAAUACGUAGGGUGCGAGCGUUAAUCGGAAUUACUGGGCGUAAAGCGUGCGCAGGCGGUUUUGUAAGCCAGACGUGAAAUCCCCGGGCUUAACCU